rnacentral:tRNA from 1 species
CGGGGUGACCGCAUGGCGCGGAAGCGGCCUGUAAAGCCGUGGUCUUUUGACACCGGUGGUUCGACUCCACCCACCCUGACC